UACGUAGGUGGCGAGCGUUAUCCGGAAUUAUUGGGCGUAAAGAGCGCGCAGGUGGUUGAUUAAGUCUGAUGUGAAGGCCCACGGCUUAACCGUGGAGGGUCAUUGGAAACUGGUCGACUUGAGUGCAGAAGAGGGAAGUGGAAUUCCAUGUGUAGCGGUGAAAUGCGUAGAGAUAUGGAGGAACACCAGUGGCGAAGGCGGCUUCCUGGUCUGUAACUGACACUGAGGCGCGAAAGCGUGGGGAGCAAACAGGAUUAGAUACCCCGGUA
rnacentral:rRNA from 1 species